AUCCUUUCCAACAAACCAAUCAUUCCCGUAAAGAAUUUUCUCUUUAUUUGAACAUUACUUAUUUUUUUUCUUA
rnacentral:tRNA from 1 species